rnacentral:snoRNA from 1 species
CUCAUAGAGUUUAGGAUAUCCCUUUUCUCCUUGGAAGAUCAGCCCUUGAGGAUCAUCAUCAGGACUGCCAUGAGCUGGCAGCUUUCUUUUCCUCUUUCGAGCAUUU